GAUGAACGCUGGCGGCGUGCUUAACACAUGCAAGUCGAACGGAAAGGCUCCUGCUUGCAGGGGUACUCGAGUGGCGAACGGGUGAGUAACACGUGGGUGAUCUGCCCUGCACUUCGGGAUAAGCCUGGGAAACUGGGUCUAAUACCGGAUAGGACGAUGGUUUGGAUGCCAUUGUGGAAAGUUUUUUCGGUGUGGGAUGAGCUCGCGGCCUAUCAGCUUGUUGGUGGGGUAAUGGCCUACCAAGGCGUCGACGGGUAGCCGGCCUGAGAGGGUGUACGGCCACAUUGGGACUGAGGUACGGCCCAGACUCCUACGGGAGGCAGCAGUGGGGAGUAUUACACAAUGGGCGCAAGCCUGAUGCAGCGGCGCCGCGUGGGGGAUGACGGCCUUCGGGUUGUAAACUCCUUUCGCUAGGGACGAAGCGCAAGUGACGGUACCUGGAGAAGAAGCACCGGCUAACUACGUG
rnacentral:rRNA from 1 species